GUGCUGGAGCAGCCCCGCUGGAAGCGAUGCAGCAUCCAGGAAGACGGAGGAAGGGGCGGAGAGGGACCUCUGCUUUCCAGGCUGCCUUUUAUACUGCCUCUGGUCACCUGACGUGGAACGUACCCUAACCUAAUCAGUUACAUGAGGCGCUUGGAAACCACCGUGAAUUGGACCGCACUGGGAAACACAGAUGAAGAAAGUCAACACCGCUUUGUCCUUCAGUGCCUGGCUCCUUUUUCAGCUCGUCUUGCAACUCCAGGCAUUGGAGUCCAGGGAGGGGCACGCCGCCUUUACCCUGUGCUUCCCACGAUC
rnacentral:antisense_RNA from 1 species